ensembl:ncRNA Y116A8C.466 ncRNA
CAGAUUUCUUGCACAAAUUUCCAGCUAAAUUAGCAAAAAUGAUACGGGCUAGCUCGCCAAAGUGCUCAGAUGGCCCCUGUGCCAGGUAUAUCUCCAUUUCAAUGCCCUUCCGAUGGGCAAAGUACAGUGGCACGUUCUCUUCACAGCACU